AACCACAUAAUGAGGUACCAGCUUCCACCCAGCUACCGUGACUAAAUCAGAACAAAAGAUUCAACGCCUCCUUCAACAAAGGAACACAAGUCUAAGCUGUCUUUACUAAUUGCUGGGUUUCAGGUUGUCUGUUACAGAUUUUAAGUGAGCUACAAACUUCCAUCAAAUACUUAUAGCUGUUGGAUAAAGGUACUAAGAAUAAAAGAUAAAUGGAAGCAAAAGGCAAUGAUGUUGUUCUCCUAAAAUGUGAGCCAGUUUGAUUCCUGUCAGCAAGUGGAGCUCAACUCAGCUCUUCCUCUCCUCGAGUUGCUGCAGACAGACCAGCAGCUUCAGUCAGCUGCUCCAUGGACUGGCUUGAAACGGUUCGGGCAAAUUAUUACUCCAUUCAUGGAUCACCUUCUGCACUUUUUAUAUACUGAGUCAGACACUUUGGGUCAUUUUAAAGUGAAAGAGAAUAAUGAAAUUAUCUUAAUAAGGAACACUGUUCCAUUUAAAAAUAGGAUAUUUAUUGUCACCAAUGCUGUCCCCAAAUUGUAAAUGAAUGUCUUUUUAAAGAUUUUUUCAGUAUUCCAGGGUAAGAAACAUGUUAUAUCUGUUUCUUUUUGUAAAUCAUUGCUAUCCUUAUCUAGUUAGUACAGAAACGGUGUCUGAGUCAUGGGAAAUUUAAGUGGUUUGUCUCAGGAAAAUUUGGUGGUAUGCAUGUUUUUGAUGCACGUAGAGCUGCUGAAUGAAUAAUUGGCUCCUAUUUAAUGUCCUCUGCUUUAAAGCUGUCUAGUACAUUUGCUGUUUAAAAAAAUGUCUUUCAAAGCUGUUAAAUAUGUAACAAAAAGAGGUUGCUCUCCCCAUUCUGACGUGAACAAAGCCAUACAGUGAGCUGCCCGAGGUACUUCCAGCAUGGGAUUAAUUACAAACACAAUCAUAAAUGGAAAUGUGCAAAGUUUUCCAAUUCUUUUUCUUUGCAAUACCAGCUGAUGAGUGUUUGAUAAAAGCAUGCAGUAAAAAUAUCAGUCCAGGAAUUAGGUAUUAAAUAUUAAGCCAAGCAUUUUUCAGACAGUAUGGGAUCUGUUGGAGCUAUAAUUUCACCAUUUACCCUGGAUGGAGUUAGAUCUCUGUCUGUAUUGAGAAGCAAACCGAGCUUAAAAGAGGAACGCACUCUCAAGAAGAUGAUCGACUAAGAUUGUGUUUUAUUUUGAUUUGAAAAACUGUCAAUCACAGAUAAAAAAUACCAAAUAAUAUUAUUAUAUAUACUAGCUAACUGUAUUUGUCUGGUAAACCAGGCAUAUGCAGGAAAGAGAAAUAAUACAGUUUAAAAGGAAAAUAUUCUGAAGGUUUUGCCCAGAUGUUGUGCUGAAAUUGUUGUUCACUGGUACAAGCAAUUGAUUUCAGAGGAAAAUACAAGCACAUAGCUAUAGAUGUGAGAAAGAAAUAAGAUGUCCAAUGUCUCACAUAUUUCAGUUUAUAUAGCCACAGCUAUUUAAACAAUUCCAAAACUGCCUCUACGGGUGUCAAAGAGGGAGGGAAAUCUUCAACCACAUGAUCUUCUCUCCAGAGUCCUGUUAAAUCCACUGAACUUAAAACAGAACAAGAAGUGUGAAAUAUGGGUUUGAACAUGUUAUGUCAGAAAUGUAAAGGUUGGAAGCCUUUUUAGUAACUGAUAUUAAUAUUGUAUUAAAUGUUAUGAAAAGGUAGGUGUUGGAGAGAAGGGCUGGGCUCAUGUGCAAUUUUGUCAAGGUUUUUAUCUGUGAUUAUGAUUCCAGAUGUAUCUAUUCCCUGAGGAGAAAAAUGAAGUAAAGUUGGCAUGUGACAUGUGUUCUAAGGUGUUUGGCACAGUUUCCCAAAGUGAUGACAAAAUGUUCAUUUUUAUUACAGUGAAUUGGUAAAGAAAACACGAUUCUGAAGGUCAGUAGCUGUAUAUUUAAGAUAGCUUUGGAGUUUUAUUUUGAGCAAUAUACAUUCUCGGUGAUGUGCUUACAUCUGAUUGCCUGACAAGCAUCUACCGUAGUAAAAAAUGUAAAUAGAAUAACUUUUACUAAAUAUAAAGUGGUAAUUACUAGAAAUUCAGUAAAUUCAUGCACAGAACAUGACAAAGAUUGCAAAAAUGUCUCUUUUUUGCAUCUAGUACUGUAGCUGCUUCUUAAUUAUUUUUUUAAUCUGUUUACUGCAGACUAAUCUUACUGCUCUACAGUCAGAGCUCAAAUUAAGUGCAACAAGGUCCUUUGUAGGAACAUGUUUUUAAUGUAAAUGGGCAGAUUUUAAUUUUUUUAACAAAUUGGGGAAGGUUAUUUUUUUGGGGGGAAGGUUUUUUGCCCAAACGCACAUUAAGAGUUGAGAUAAGAAAGUUCCCUGUGGCUGCCCAGCUCUCCCUGUCUCGUUCCUGCAGCCCCUGUGUGUGCAGCAGUCCCGGCAGCUCCUUGCUGACAGCAGGGCACCCCGGGCUGCAGGACCAGGCAAACACUCCCUCAUAAACAUUUUACAAGUUCAGGAUCAACCAAUCCUCGAGGUUUGGGAGCCUGCCCUGAUUGGGUGUAUCAGGGAUUUGGUAAACACGGCUACAUAACAAAAACAAGGUUUGUAGAGAAAAGACUCUGAUAGUACUGCCUUCUUUGAAUAUUCAGAGCCUAAGAAUAUGAUUAAUUCCAUACUUUACAAGUCAACUUCCCCAGCUCUGUAUCCAUCUGCAAAUAUUCAGAGUGAUGUGCUCAAUACAUUCCUUUCUGUUCUACAACCACAUUUCUUUGUGAAUUUAACCACAUCAGAAAGCACUUCAGAUUUCUAACACAAAUAUUCGAUGCAUUUAAUGUAAGGAAGCUUCCUUUAUUGGAGGUGAUUUGGAACAUUUUGUAUUUUAUAGGUAUAUUUAAGAGGUUAGCAGUAGGGGGGAAUCGUCUGUGGAAAAUCUGUCUACAGCUGAAAUUCUUAGAUGCAGAAGUGUUGCUGAAAUGCCUAAUACAUUUACAUUCUUUUGUUAAGUAGCUUACAGGACUAUCCUCUUAGCUACCAGAUACCCAGAUCCCUUUCUUUUUUUUUUUUUUUUUUUUUUUUUUUAAGUCAAAUAACAUUUCUCCUUUUUUUUUUCUUAUUUGUUAUUUUCAGGAGUAUAAACUUGGUUUGGGGUUUUGUGUGCCAUUAGAAGAUUUUCAUUUUCACGGGCUUUUUUAGUUUUUUAAACUACAAUUUUGUUGUUCCUUUCAAUAAUCUUCUGCAGCUUUAUUUCAUCUUUAGUGCAUGCAGAGAAGCCCCUCAUUGGCUAGUACAUUACUGAUACUGAUUUACAAGUUUUUCCAGAUUAAUUUUCCAUGGGGUAAUUUUUUCCCCAAUAUAACAUAGCUCCAAUUUUUAAAAAAGAGUGCCAAAUGCUAAGGUAUUUUAUAAUACAAUUUAGAAAUUAAUUUUUGAAGUCAUCGUGUUUGUAUUUUAAAUUCAGAAACUAUUUAUACUUCAGUAUCAGAAAAAUAAUGUGUAGAGUUUAAAAAUUAGCAGUCUGGUAUUUUCCAGAUAUUGAAAAGUGCCUGCCUAAUGAAGGCAGAAGACUUGCUCACUAGAUUUAUUUUAGAGCAGUGCUUUUAGAUAUUCAUAAAUUAAAAUGGCAGUUUUCAACUGGAUACUUAUUACUAUUUUAUUUGAUAUUUGCAAGAUACCUGACUAUUUAAUAUUUAUCCUUUAUUUCUCUGAGCUGAUCUAAUUGCACCUCUCUAUUUUGCAUUUAUUUCUCUUUGCAAACACUACAUUAUUCACUCUCUCCUGUGCUUAUUAAACAGUGCCACCUGCACCAAAUGAAACAAAGCUUCUCCAUCAAUCUAUCCCAGCUAAAGAACCCUGACUAUAUAUUAUAAUUAAUUGAAGCUCAAUUGAACACUUGAGUCUGAACUAGAUACAGUAACCUGAAAAAACAUUAAAAAAUUAGGAUGUACUUUAAAGAAAUCUUUUAAAUGAAAAUGUUCACUCAAAACUGAGAACCUAACCUUGCACCAAGCACUCUUCAUCAGCUCUGCACAGUACCUCAAGUAGCAAUUAGCAGGUCCUUUAAUUAAUUAACUAUUCCCUGUACAUCACAGGGAUUUUUGUGGCACUAACGUCAUCCUUCAUAAGUGAAUACCAAAUCCGGUCAAUAUUUUGUCACUCUAAAGCCUUCUCUGGACUACCUGAAUGCCACCGCCUGGCUCUGCAGAACCAUUUCCCAGCCCAAGAGCAGAUUAGGGGGAAGAUGAGGGCAGCCUCCUUUAAAGCUCCAUCUAACAGAAGAGAAAGAGAAAGAGAAGAGAUACAGAGAGAGCCCCAGGAUGUGGAAAGUCAUGAAAAUACCUACCCUGGAGACAGUAUUCCCAUAGGAUCCUUUUCAUACAAAUUCCAACUUGCC